AUUGAACGCUGGCGGCAGGCCUAACACAUGCAAGUCGAACGAGUGGCGGACGGGUGAGUAAUGUCUGGGAAACUGCCUGAUGGAGGGGGAUAACUGCUGGAAACGGUAGCUAAUACCGCAUACCAUCGGAUGUGCCCAGAGGGGAUUAGCUAGUAGGUGGGGUAAAGGCUCACCUAGGCGACGAUCCCUAGCUGGUCUGAGAGGAUGACCAGCCACACUGGGACUGAGACACGGCCCAGACUCCUACGGGAGGCAGCAGUGGGGAAUAUUGCACAAUGGGCGCAAGCCUGAUGCAGCCAUGCCGCGUGUGUGAAGAAGGCCUUCGGGUUGUAAAGUACUUUCAGCGGGGAGGCGUUACCCGCAGAAGAAGCACCGGCUAACUCCGUGCCAGCCGCCGCGGUAAUUC
rnacentral:rRNA from 1 species